UGGGAGUACGGCGCAAGGUUAAACUCAAUGAAUGACGGGGGCCGCACAAGCGUGGAGCAUGUGUUUAUUCGAAAGCAACGCGAAGACCUUACAGGCCUUGACAUCCAAUGAACUUUCCAGAGAUGGAUUGGUGCCUUCGGGAACAUUGAGACAGGUGCUGCAUGGCUGUCGUCAGCUCGUGUCGUGAGAUGUUGGGUUAAGUCCCGUAACGAGCGCAACCCUUGUCCUUAGUUACCAGCACGUUAUGGUGGGCACUCUAAGGAGACUGCCGGUGACAAACCGGAGGAAGGUGGGGAUGACAUCAAGUCAUCAUGGCCCUUACGGCCUGGGCUACACACGUGCUACAAUGGUCGGUACAGUGGGUUGCCAAGCCGCGAGGUGGAGCUAAUCUCACAAAACCGAUCGUAGUCCGGAUCGCAGUCUGCAACUCGACUGCGUGAAGUCGGAAUCGCUAGUAAUCGCGAAUCAGAAUGUCGCGGUGAAUACGUUCCCGGGCCUUGUACACACCGCCCGUCACACCAUGGGAGUGGGUUGCACCAGAAGUAGCUAGUCUAACCUUCGGGGGGACGGUUACCACGGUGUGAUUCAUGACUGGGGUGAAGUCGUAACAAGGUAACCGUAA
rnacentral:rRNA from 1 species